rnacentral:rRNA from 1 species
ACGGGAGGCAGCAGUGGGGCAUAUUGGGCAAUGGGGGCAACCCUGACCCAGCAACGACGAGUGAAGGAAGAAGGCUUUCGGGUUGUAAACUUCUUUUACCAGGGACGAAGAAAGUGACGGUACCUGGAGAAAAAGCUACGGCUAACUACGUGCCAGCAGCCGCGGUAAUACGUAGGUAGCAAGCGUCGUCGGGAUUUACUGGGUGUAAAGGGCGUGUAGGCGGAGAUGCAAGUCAGGAGUGAAAUCUAUGGGCUUAACCCAUAAACUGCUUUUGAAACUGCAUCCCUUGAGUAUCGGAGAGGCAGGCGGAAUUCCUAGUGUAGCGGUGAAAUGCGUAGAUAUUAGGAGGAACACCAGUGGCGAAGGCGGCCUGCUGGACGACAACUGACGCUGAGGCGCGAAAGCGUGGUGAGCAAACAGGAUUAGAUACCCUGGUA